CACUGCAUGCUUGUUUUCACUUCCAAGAAAGCAGAGUUCAAGUGUACUCUCAGACCAGAGACAGAAAUAAAUAAAACAUUAAAAAAAAAUGCAGCAUAUUCUCUAACAAGAUCCCAGCUGAA